rfam:Triticum aestivum genome assembly, contig: Triticum_aestivum_CS42_TGACv1_scaffold_542513_6DS
CACCUACUCCCUCAGUUCCAAAUUACUUGACCCAUAUUUAUCUAGACAUAGAUGUAUCUAGACACUAAACAAGUAUAGAUACAUCCGUAUUUAGACAAAUUCAAGUCAACUAAUUUGGAACGGAGGGAGUAACAC